rnacentral:rRNA from 1 species
CCUACGGGAGGCAGCAGUAGGGAAUAUUGCUCAAUGGGGGAAACCCUGAAGCAGCAACGCCGCGUGGAGGAUGAAGGUUUUCGGAUUGUAAACUCCUUUUGUUAGAGAAGAUAAUGACGGUAUCUAACGAAUAAGCACCGGCUAACUCCGUGCCAGCAGCCGCGGUAAUACGGAGGGUGCAAGCGUUACUCGGAAUCACUGGGCGUAAAGAGCGCGUAGGCGGGAUAGCAAGUCAGAUGUGAAAUCCUAUGGCUUAACCGCGGAACUGCAUCUAAAACUAUAUAGCUGGAGUGCAGGAGAGGUGG